GGUGAACGCUGGCGGCGUGCUUAAGACAUGCAAGUCGAACGGCAGUCUUCGGACUGUAGUGGCGCACGGGUGAGUAACGCGUAACUGACCUACCCCAAAGUCGCGGAUAACGAUUCGAAAGAAUCGCUAAUACGUGAUGUGCUGUCAGAUUGUGUUCUGCCAGUAAAGAUUGAUUGCUCUGGGAUGGGGUUGCGUUCCAUCAGCUAGUUGGUGGGGUAAAGGCCCACCAAGGCGACGACGGAUAGCCGGCCUGAGAGGGUGGCCGGCCACAGGGGCACGGAGAAACGGGUCCCACUCCUACGGGAGGCAGCAGUUAGGAAUCUUCCACAAUGGGCGAAAGCCUGAUGGAGCGACGCCGCGUGAGGGAUGAAGGUCUUCGGAUCGUAAACCUCUGAAUCAGGGACGAAAGACACUUCGGUGGGAUGACGGUACCUGAGUAAUAGCACCGGCUAACUCCGUGCCAGCCGCCGCGGUAAAAC
rnacentral:rRNA from 1 species